rnacentral:snRNA from 14 species
CUCUACAGAGAAGAUUAGCAUGGCCCCUGUGCAAGGAUGACACGCAAAUUCGUGAAGCGUUCCUCUCUCUC